rnacentral:lncRNA from 1 species
GGGGUCUGGUUUUAUAGUCCCUCCAAGUGAAUAUGGGUCGUUGGAUCAAACCGACAUUGAUUGAACGGUUAUCCUUGAUCCUUUAGGUCGGUGGAGCAAUAUCCCGAAAGAGAGUCCUGAUUGGACUCUAUGUGAGGGCGGGCGCCUAGGAGAGUAGGGCGGGCGCCCUAUCCCUGAGUCCUCUUGGCUUCCUGUUUGUUCCUGUGGCUUUUGGAGUCUUCUAGAUGGUAGAAAAUUGCGCAGCACGUUAAUAUCUCUAUGUAAACCCGACGUGUGGGCCUUUCCUCCGUAUUUCCUGAUAACCCCCGGCAGAAAUAGACAAAUACCAAAACUCGUGGAAUUCUGUCAGAUAAAAUCCUAAGUCUGGGUGUUGGUUGCAUAUAGAUCCUUUUCCAUAAUUAGUUGAUGGUUAAAUUUGAGCAUUAAGGACCGUCAACAAGCUCCCCCAAGCUUAACCUUUGCUUGUCCCUGAGCAAAGAUGAACUUAAGAGUUUCUGCAGUGGUUUCAUUCCUUAAAGGUACACAUGCGUUCAAGGAAGAUCUCAUCUCUGGGUUAGGGUAAACUAUUAAGAUUUAAACUUACUCAUUUUUCCUUCCACCAUGGGGCUUGCACCCGUCACUUGUGUCUUGAGCAGUUAAAAGAUAGAACGGUCUAGUCAAGCGUCAUGUCUCUUGUUCUUCGAUUAACUAUAGCUCUGGAGUUUUUGCAGAUUUUCAAAUAAAACCCAGAGAUUCCUUAUAUGACUCUCUCUAGUCUCUCUUUUGUGGUAUCUCUGGAUCCUUACCAAGGCAGUAAUAGUGUAUGCCUUCUCUCAAAGUAUGUGGUAUUUUUGGUAUGAGGCAUAGUGACAUUGCCUUCUCUCUCACCCUACUCUAAUAAGGUUUUGAUAUCUGGAGCUCAUAGGUGGGAGACAGCUAAUACAUACUUACAAGACAUUUAUUGCAUAGUCAAACCAUGGAUCUAGAAGAACAAGUCAAUAAGUCAAAUCAAGAUGUGCAUGUGUGGCGAAUGAAUGGUGUAUGGUGAUGAUGGUGAUAACAAUGGUGAAAGUCCAAUUCUACUUAUGCUCUUUUGAGAGGAUACAUACCUUUCUUGCUCUUUUGAAACUUUUUGAGGAGAAUGAGAUGCUCUAUAUUUUCUUUUUCUUUUCUCUCAGGUGGGUAUCUUGUACCCCUAAUUCUACUGUCGGACACUUGUCCAUUUUUACCUCUCGUCUCACUUUUUCUUUUCUUUCGAGGUUCCGGGCACUUGCCCCUUUUUAUUUCCUCGUAUCUUUUUUUCUCUCUCUCUUCUUUUUUUUAGAGCACUCAUCUCUUGAAAUAAUGUAACAAGUGGUAGUAAACAAGAUAACUUGAGCAUUUAUUUCACAGGGGAAAACAGAAAUGAUUUUGGCUAUUCUCUCCCGGAUUAGGAGUAGAAUAUUUUUGGGUGGUUUUGGAGAUGGAAAUGGUUUGAUAUAUGUGGAUGCGUACUUCCGGAGUAGAAGCAGCAUGUGCGAAUGAACGUGCAAGUGAAUCUUAAUUUAACCACAUGACAAGCUCCUAAGGGUCUACACAGCUUGACCACACUCAAUGCUCAUAAGCAGUAAAAAGUAAAUGUGUGGCUCAAAGUCUAGCAAGCAUGUAUAUAUGGCUGUGGUAGGAAUUUAAACUCUCAUCAUACAGGAACUCAUCAUGUGUUAUUUUAAAGAUUUUCAAAGAUAAACUUCUCCAGUUUUCUAGCAUCUCUAGGAACAGAUAAACAGCAGCUCAACCUUUCCAUACCAUAUCCGUUAACGACUUAGACUUUAGAUCAAGUACUCUUCCCACAAGUUCAGGUUUAGAGCAAUGCUUAAUUAAUAACAGUCAUGCCUAAACUUGAGAGAGAUUUCAAUUUUGAGAAUUAGUCAUGGCAGAGCAACUAUUCAUCAUUUCCAUGUGAGAGCUAUCAUGAGGGUUCAUAGCAGACUUUAUUUAUUUAUUUAUUUAGCAAACUAAACAAAGAUACAUAUAAGCACAAAAUCUUUAUUUGGGUUUUUAUGAUUAUACAUCUUUUUAUUAUUUGAGUAAAGUAUAAACGUGAGUAGAACACUUAGCUGGAUAAAAGGGGGUGCUCUCCCCCAAGCUGGAUUUUGAUGUAAUUUCUUCUGACAUAGCUAGCAGGUGGUGGAGGUGUAUUUGAAUGUCGGUAGUGUUGACGGUCCUUAAGUAUCAAAUUUAAUUAUCAAAUAAACAAAGAAAAGGAUCCAAAUGAAAUCAACAUCUAGACUUAGGGUUUUAUCUGACAGAAUUCCAUGAGUUUUGGUGUUUGUCUAUUUCUACAGGGGGUUAUCAGGAAAUAAGGAAGAAAGGCCCACAUGUCGGGAUUACAUAGAGAUAUCAACCCACCGCGCA